rnacentral:lncRNA from 1 species
GUUCUAUCAGUUUAGAGCUCAGUUUCACCUUUGCUAUGAAUUACAUGUUUCCUUAGCUGUUGAGGACAUUCCCGAGGAGAUAAAUGAGGUCACAGAGCCAGAUGAAGUUAUUGAAGAUUUGGAAAUUGGUAAAAAGCUAUCAGUAGAAAGUAAACAUACUGAAGAUAAAGUGGUCCCUGAAUCUGAGGAAUCAGAUACUUAAAGCUUCAAAAGAAAAGUCCCUACAUCAGGAGGACCAGCCCUAACCAUACGCUACAAAAGGGGAGCAGAUGGUUGUAAUAGACCUCACGAUGUAAUUACUGAGCAGUUCAGGGUUUGGGCAGUGAACACUAAGAUAUUGUAAAUGGGUUAUAGCCAACUGUCAUUUUAGUACUUUUU